CCUGUGUACGCUUUCUGAAAGUUAUGGUGUCUGUUGUUUGAUAUGUGGUGGUUCGGAUGGAACACCAAUAAAAUUACCGUGUAAAAGAUUGAAUGGAAAUUUCUGUCAAAAGGUAAACUGUUCCUCUCAUACGGCGCAUGGACAGAAACCAGAUGAAAAAGCGACGGCAAGAACAUCUGUGAUAGAGUUUCAAAUGAGAACUAAAACGGCAACACUUCCGGUGUUACCGGAAGUUACAUCAUCUUCCACGCUCACACUGACUCAGUCCUCAGGUGUAAGCACCACACUAAUUUCUGCAUCUUGUGAGAAAAGUACAGAUGUGGCUGUAACAGUAAUUACAGCGGGUGUGGUCACUUGUGUUGCCUUGGUUACUUGCCUUGUGUCGGUGUAUAUAUGGAAGAGAAG